UAUUGUCUCUAGGUAUUAAACUAAUGCUGUGUUGUCAGGUCUAUUGUCUCUAGGUAUUAAACUAAUGCUGUGUUGUCAGGUCUAUUGCCUCUAGGUAUUAAACUAAUGCCUUGUUGUCAGGUCUAUUGUCUCUAGGUAUUAAACUAAUGCCUUGUUGUCAGGUCUAUUGUCUCUAGGUAUUAAACUAAUGUUGUGUUGUCAGGUCUAUUGUCUCUAGGUAUUAAACUAAUGCUGUGUUGUCAGGUCUAUUGUCUCUAGGUAUUAAACUAAUGCCUUGUUGUCAGGUCUAUUGUCUCUAGGUAUUAAACUAAUGCCUUGUUGUCAGGUCUAUUGUCUCUAGGUAUUAAACUAAUGCCUUGUUGUCAGGUCUAUUGUCUCUAGGUAUUAAACUAAUGCUGUGUUGUCAGGUCUAUUGUCUCUAGGUAUUAAACUAAUGCCUUGUUGUCAGGUCUAUUGUCUCUAGGUAUUAAACUAAUGCUGUGUUGUCAGGUCUAUUGUCUCUAGGUAUUAAACUAAUGCUGUGUUGUCAGGUCUAUUGUCUCUAGGUAUUAAACUAAUGCCUUGUUGUCAGGUCUUUUGUCUCUAGGUAUUAAACUAAUGCCUUGUUGUCAGGUCUAUUGUCUCUAGGUAUUAAACUAAUGAUGUGUUGUCAGGUCUAUUGUCUCUAGGUAUUAAACUAAUGCCUUGUUGUCAGGUCUAUUGUCUCUAGGUAUUAAACUAAUACUGUGUUGUCAGGUCUAUUGUCUCUAGGUAUUAAACUAAUGCUGUGUUGUCAGGUCUAUUGUCUCUAGGUAUUAAACUAAUGCUGUGUUGUCAGGUCUAUUGUCUCUAGGUAUUAAACUAAUGCUGUGUUGUCAGGUCUAUUGUCUCUAGGUAUUAAACUAAUGAUGUGUUGUCAGGUCUAUUGUCUCUAGGUAUUAAACAUUAAAGUAAUGCCUUGUUGUCAGGUCUAUUGUCUCUAGGUAUUAAACAUUAAACUAAUGCCUUGUUGUCAGGUCUAUUGUCUCUAGGUAUUAAACUAAUGCUGUGUUGUCAGGUCUAUUGUCUCUAGGUAUUAAACUAAUUCUGUGUUGUCAGGUAUAUUGUCUCUAGGUAUUAAACAUUAAACUAAUGCCUUGUUGUCAGGUC